GGGAACGGCGCUUUCUUGGUGACCGGGAUCUGUGCCGUCUUGAGCUGGGGGACCGGGAGCGACUGCGGUGCCGAGACCUGUGGACAAAACUACACAUUGUAGACCAAACCCUGGGAAGAGAAAACCAAUCAUAAAAACAGUGAGAUAAAUAUGCAAGAGAAAAGUGCCACCAAACCGACCUUUCUCAUCAUCUUAUGGCGGUAGUGUGCUACUUGACGGUGGAUGGAGUAACCGGGCUUAAGGGAGCGCAGGCCUUGCUCCAGCUCAUCCUGGUACUGCAACACCCGGAUCUCCACUUCACGUAGCCUUGCCCGCCGCUCCUCACUCACGUCACUGUAGAGAAAACACAAUGUUCAGCACGUGAUGCUUCCAGGCCAAACAUCACCCUACUUCACCAACUCCACUAUUGUAAGUACAGACUCAACAAUGUUAUCACAACUGAAUGUAAAGCUUAAGAUCUUUAUAAAUCACAGGCAAGAUAUCAACACUCAAUUAUGUAAUGCAAAAGUGUAAAAUGAGUUGACAUAACUGAUGAUAAAAUACUUCACUGAUUAUUUUGUAACAAGAUCAGUAGUAGCCAAAGGACCUAAAUCAUUCUUGCAAUAUGAUAAAAAAGAAUUAUUGCAUGAGCCAUGUGUAAGAUAUUAAAGUAACAAAUUCAAGUUAACAAAGAUUUUUCUAACCAAACAAAUUGUUUUUGAAGUUCACGCUUUCUUCAUGGUGUUGAAGAGAAAACUGGCAUAUCAUCUACUGAGUUUUUAAGUAAAGUGCAUGUGAUAUGGACCUUCAAUAUUUCAUACAAGAUUCUCAAGACUGGAAAUUUUUCUUUGUCAAGUGCACAGACUUCCAAAAAUAGAUUAUGAACCUGAGUAACUUUUAAUUCAUAUAAAGAUAGACAUGUAUUGACCAUAUUACUGAUGUUCAUUUAGUUAAUACAAUAGCAUUUAUAAUUUGCAGUCCAGUUAAGUAAUGAAGUAGAAGGCUCCAAACAUCUCAUGUUUACCCUUGAAGUCUGUCAAAUCCUCUGGAAUCUUCAGAGUAUUCGGAACCAUUGUCUUGUGAUUGUGAGUCUUCCUCGGAGGAGCCUCGUUUCUUGCGCUUGUAGUCAUCAUAUACCAAAGGGAUGCCGUCAAGGUCAUCCUCAUCUGCAGUGAACAAGACAGUGCAAUAGAUCUGUUCUAACAGAAACUGAAGAACUGUCCUCAUUUGCUCUUUGCAGCACAAUGAAAAUGUACCUUGAUCACCUUUUUAUAUAAAUAACCAAGUAACCUCAACCAUUGUAAGAAUUGUUUCCUGCAAUACAAAUAAGUAUUUCAUGUUUAUAAGUUUUCAUAUUUUCCUUAAUUCUUUCCUUAAUAUAAAAAACAUUGAAAGACCAAAAGAAAACAAAAGAAAGAGGAAGACUAACAAUUACUAAAACUCCUAGAAGUUACUAAACAAAAUUAACCAGUAAACAGCUGUACACUUCUCACUCACGCUGUGCAUCUCUUGGAAACAAAUUCUACUCGUUUCCUCAAGUGCAUAUCCUGGAUUAUAUAUUUUGUAAACAAUUUAGUCCCUUACUUCUAAUUUUUCAUCUUGACUAGUCAUGCAAAUUCUAUCAUUAGUCUGUUACUUGUCGUGAGUAGUAAAGACAAGCAUGGGAAGGUUACUGAGCAACAAAUUAAUACUCCUACCAACCUUCUCACUGGUGUAAAGAUAUGCUUCAUUGCAUUGCAAAUAUUAUCAUGACAAAAGUAAAUUAUUGGGGAUUUAAAAGUUGUGCCUACCUUGACAGAACCACUCACCAUGACUGUUGUGACUGGUUUGUGUGUGGGUGCCAGAGUUGUCAUACACUGGGGUGCUAUCUGAACCAUUGGCUCCCUCAUCCUCACUCUGGUUGGCCUCCACUACUUCCCACUUAGAGGUGGUGACAGCCUGCAAAACCCAAAUGUUAUGCUAUACUGUUCAGGAAGCACAUUGCGAUAAGAAAAAGA